rnacentral:rRNA from 1 species
UACGGGGGGGGCUAGCGUUGUUCGGAAUUACUGGGCGUAAAGGGCGCGUAGGCGGUCCGCUAAGUCGGAUGUGAAAACUCUGGGCUCAACCCAGAGCCUGCAUCCGAAACUGACGGGCUAGAGUUCUGGAGGGGGUAGCGGAAUUCCUGGUGUAGCGGUGAAAUGCGUAGAUAUCAGGAGGAACACCGGUGGCGAAGGCGGCUACCUGGACAGAAACUGACGCUGAGGCGCGAAAGCUAGGGGAGCAAACAGG